AUUCCCCCUUAUCCUAUCACAAGCGACCACCUACUGCCCAGGAGCUGGCUGGGAGGCAGGCCUAGAUGUGAGGAGCCUAACCUCCUCCAUGAGAAAUUCUGGAUGUGGCAGUGACUGGUGCUGUGAGCCCUGGCCUGCUGGCAAACACCCAAGGGAAGAACUUCUCAACCUCCAGUGCUGAGCCACUGGAUAUUGCUUUGCACUCAACCUGAAGAUUAACUUACAACUUGCUGGGCCAUCCAGGAUAUCUGUUACAGUUAGGAAGAGUGAUUAGCAAAUUCUGAUGCUGGAGAUAAUCCGGAGUCUAUAAAACUUUGCUGGAUAUAGCACUGUUUGCAGAGUCUCCUUCCAAGAUUGAAGAGUGAGCACAUUCUUGUCCGGUCUUCAGAGCUGCAGUUUGGAAAAAAACACAACUUGCCAAUGUUUCCUGCCGUGUGGUCUUCUGACAGCAUAGAUGUCUGCAACAGUAGGCAACAUAUACACUUUUUAGUUUAGAAAUAGAUUGCAGUUUUGAAACAUAGUGGGAAAUGUGAUUAGAAUAGUGUAUUGUCUAUCCUCGUCAUUUGUUCUGUUUGAAUGAAUAUUUUCUAUAUAAUAUUGCCAAGAAGCACUGUUUAACUCAGAGGACACUCAACACUUAAAUCACCUGUGAAACCUGUUGGCUUAUUAGGUGUUGGAAAUACUUGCCACAUCGUUUUGGAUUUAGCAAGGCUAGAUAUCAAGGCUAGUGACAUGAUAAGGUGGCAAGCUGCCCCCUGCUCCAACACAUCUGUAGCUGUCAUUUAGCAAAAUAUUAACACAUUUUUCCAUUUAAUUUUAUUGCCUUUAAUGAGAUUUGGAACACCCUUAAUUAUUAUAUUACAGUUGAGUGAUCUUCUAAUGUAGAGCUUCAACCAGAGGCUGUACAACACCUUCCAAACCUGAUCUGAUCCUUGCACCUGUAACCCACUGUUUAUUGUAGACCCCAAUAAAAUGAAGACUAAGUCAUGU
rnacentral:lncRNA from 7 species